rnacentral:rRNA from 1 species
UACGUAGGUGGCAAGCGUUGUCCGGAAUUAUUGGGCGUAAAGCGCGCGCAGGCGGUCCUUUAAGUCUGAUGUGAAAUCCCGUGGCUUAACCACGGGCGGUCAUUGGAAACUGGGGGACUUGAGUGCAGAAGAGAAGAGCGGAAUUCCACGUGUAGCGGUGAAAUGCGUAGAGAUGUGGAGGAACACCGGUGGCGAAGGCGGCUCUUUGGUCUGUAACUGACGCUGAGGCGCGAAAGCGUGGGGAGCGAACAGG